AAUUAUAUCUUGAUUUUAAAGGAGAAAGUGAAUAUUGCUUAAGCAACAUCCAUUUCUGUUUUUUAGGAGCAACUUUAAUAUGUUCCUACCAACUAGUUCCUUUUGGCAAAUCUACAUGACAUUGUCCUGCUUCCAGCACAGGCCACCAAAUCAGAAUAUGGUUUUAUCCUGAACCUUCUCAACACUCAAUUCCAAUGCAGUAGAUACACAGAGAUAUCUGUGUCAUGAAUCACUGAGUCCCCAGCUGCCCAGAUGAAUGUUGGAGGAAAUAUUUACGCUCUUUGCAGUGAUGUUGAGGACGGAAAAGUCUUGUGAGACAUGUUUUAACUAUUAUUAUUUAGCUGCCUCUAGAGGAACACAGGCUGCCAUACUCUUACUGGACAGCAGGAAAGAAAGAGAUCUCCAGAUCUGGGAACUGGGCCACCACUAG
rnacentral:lncRNA from 9 species